rnacentral:misc_RNA from 1 species
GCCGCCGCAAUCCUUUUCAAAAGGCUUGAUAAUUAAACUGUGCUCACCUGUGGCAACCGUCAAUUGCCUGGGAACACCUGUGGGAACGUUCAUUUUAAGGUCAGCCCGAGUGCGGCGGCGUCGGCCCUGCGAAGCCCCAGAACCCCAGGUCAGGUGGGUUGUAGACUGGGUUGUAUUCCGCGGCGUCGGUCCUCCAGGUAACUCGCGAGCCCCACCUGGCCGACAGCAACUGCCAUUACAUUGACUUUGAAUCAGUGUUGUGCCGAACUGUCCUGUGCGAAGGUCUAUUUUUCCCUCGUCUUUAAGCCAGUGGUAGAUCUUAUCGGGGAAAAAAUAUUAUACCGAUAGAAGGAGUUGUUUGUGGUGUGUCUCUGUGUUCCCCCUCAGUGUGUUGAGCCCCAACUGGCAUUAAGUGGAAAAGAAAAAAAGUGAUUAAGAGGGAUUUUUUUCCUACCUGUGUUUGAUCUCUCUCUCCCUCCACGCAAGCCAUCUCAAGACUCUCUCGCUCUGACUCUAUCUUUUGGAUUUACUUACGCAUUGGGGACUAACGCAGCAUCUUCCGUAGGCGGUGGAGCCCUGGCCGGCGAUGUUGGGAUGAGGGAUACUCACGGACCCUUAACACUGGUGAGUAAAAACUGUGCCUCAUCUGUACCUUUUUUUGAUGAGU